UACGUAGGGGGCUAGCGUUGUCCGGAAUCAUUGGGCGUAAAGCGCGCGUAGGCGGCCCGGUAAGUCCGCUCUGAAAGUCCAGGGCUCAACCCUGGAAAGCGGGUGGAUACUGCCGGGCUAGAAUCCGGAAGAGGCGAGUGGAACUCCUGGUGUAGCGGUGAAAUGCGUAGAUAUCGAGAGGAACACCUGCGGCGAAGGCGGGUUGCUGGGCCGACACUGACGCUGAGGCGCGAAAGCCAGGGGAGCGAACGGG
rnacentral:rRNA from 1 species